GCGUCACCUAGAGAUGGAUCCGCGGUGCAUUAGUUAGUUGGUGGGGUAAAGGCCUACCAAGACAAUGAUGCAUAGCCGAGUUGAGAGACUGAUCGGCCACAUUGGGACUGAGACACGGCCCAAACUCCUACGGGAGGCUGCAGUAGGGAAUCUUCCACAAUGGGCGAAAGCCUGAUGGAGCAACGCCGCGUGUGUGAUGAAGGCUUUCGGGUCGUAAAGCACUGUUGUAUGGGAAGAACAGCUAGAAUAGGGAAUGAUUUUAGUUUGACGGUACCAUACCAGAAAGGGACGGCUAAAUACGUGCCAGCAGCCGCGGUAAUACGUAUGUCCCGAGCGUUAUCCGGAUUUAUUGGGCGUAAAGCGAGCGCAGACGGUUGAUUAAGUCUGAUGUGAAAGCCCGGAGCUCAACUCCGGAAUGGCAUUGGAAACUGGUUAACUUGAGUGCAGUAGAGGUAAGUGGAACUCCAUGUGUAGCGGUGGAAUGCGUAGAUAUAUGGAAGAACACCAGUGGCGAAGGCGGCUUACUGGACUGUAACUGACGUUGAGGCUCGAAAGUGUGGGUAGCAAACAGGAUUAGAUACCCUGGUAGUCCACACCGUAAACGAUGAACACUAGGUGUUAGGAGGUUUCCGCCUCUUAGUGCCGAAGCUAACGCAUUAAGUGUUCCGCCUGGGGAGUACGACCGCAAGGUUGAAACUCAAAGGAAUUGACGGGGACCCGCACAAGCGGUGGAGCAUGUGGUUUAAUUCGAAGCAACGCGAAGAACCUUACCAGGUCUUGACAUCCUUUGAAGCUUUUAGAGAUAGAGUGU
rnacentral:rRNA from 1 species